rnacentral:rRNA from 1 species
GCCAGCCCGCUCAGAAACUCAAUGAAUUGACGGGGCCCGCACAAGCGGUGGAGUAUGUGGUUAAUUCGAUGCAACGCGAAGAACCUUACCUGGUCUUGACAUCCCGGAGACCCUUAGGAAACUAGGGGGUGCUUCCAUCUGGAAGAAUCUGGAGACAGGUGCUGCAUGGCUGUCGUCAGCUCGUGUCGUGAGAUGUUGGGUUAAGUCCCGCAACGAGCGCAACCCUUGCCUUUAGUUGCCAGCAGUUCGGCUGGGCACUCUAAAGGGACUGCCGGUGUUAAACCGGAGGAAGGUGGGGAUGACGUCAAGUCCUCAUGGCCUUUAUGACCAGGGCUACACACGUACUACAAUGGCCGAUACAAAGGGCAGCGACACUGCGAGGUGAAGCCAAUCCCGUAAAAUCGGUCUCAGUCCGGAUUGGAGUCUGCAACUCGACUCCAUGAAGUUGGAAUCGCUAGUAAUCGUGGAUCAGCAUGCCACGGUGAAUACGUUCCCGGGCCUU